GUUUCCACCGCCCGGCGGAGCGCAUUGUGAACAGCAGCUGACAAAUUGUUGUGUUGCACACACACACCAAAAAAACCCAUUCAGUCUCGUAUAAUUCGGCGCAAGCGGUGUCUGUGGAGAGCCUCCCGGGGGCAUGGCACGGGGGACCCGGAGGCCAACAAGCUGCGCGAUACCGGAGCAAAGUCGGGAUCAGCAGCCGCCUUUCGCGGAGGGCGUUCUGCGCUCCAAGCAAAUUGGCGAAAUGCGGGGAUUCAGACACGAAACGAGCGCGCUAGAAAGGGUCGUGUUGACACAUCCCAUACUUUAAGUGUACACAUGACAGUUGCAGACAUUCAAGCCCUUAAAAGGAGCACAAUGGAGCGUUUACAUUUUAGACCUGUGUCUAUGGGAUACAUCUACAGCCACCAGUAACCCGCUUUGAAUGUGGAGUUGAUGUGCUUUAUUUAUUCAUUUUAUUUUAUUUUAUUUUUUUGAGACGGAAUUUCGCUCUUGUCGCCCAGGCUGGAGUGCAGUGGUGUGAUCUCGGCUCACUGCAACCUCCGCCUCCCGGGUUCAAGCGAUUCUCCUGCCUCAGCCUCCCGAGUAGCUGGGAUCACAGGCACGCAUCACCAUGCCCGGCUAAUUUUUGUAUUUUUUGUAGAGACAGGGUUUCACCAUGUUGGCCAGGCUGGUGUCGAACUCCCGACCUCAGGUGAUCGGCCCGCCUCGGCCUCCUAAAGUGCUGGGAUUACAGGCGUGAGCCAUGGCGCCCGGCCUGAUGUGCUUUAAAUUCGCUAAAACGACACGGGUACACACAGGCGCCCUAAGUGCACAGUCACUUUCUCUGUGUGUGCGUGUUUUACGCGCAUACGGUGAAAAAAAACUUUCCAAGGGCACAGAAGACCAUACUGUGGGUGCCCCUCGCCGCCCCCAGCGUCCCUGCCGCACUCUGGAGCUGCUCUGGGAACACACACGUUUGUGCACUCUAAGCGUCAGUGUGUUUUUGCUUUCCCCGCGCCGAAUUGUGCGUCGCCUGUGCAGACCCUCCGUUGUGUGGCCUUGUGUCUUUAGGCAGGGAACAUCUUUUGUCUCUCCGCAAGAAGCUUUCCUCCAGGAAAGAUAAAGUAAUCGAUAGGGUCUUUUAAAUAGCUCCGCGUUUCCUGUCGGGAGAGGAGUAUCAGCGCGCGCACCAAAUCUGCUCUGGUAUGUCACCUUAUCUCUCGUCCCCGCUGUUGUCCCCAAACGCCGCCUGUCAAAGGAGACGCCACCCGCAUUAGGACCUAGACUGGGGCCCUUCCGCUCGGGGUCAGGCGCAGCGCCCUCGGCUUGGGCCCCGCCGCCCCUUUAGGGGUCCGGGAGGGUGGAGAGAAGGGGCGGGAGCCAGGAUGAGGGUGCGGGGGGCCUAGAACCCGAGGCUGGUAGGAGAGCAAACUCUCAAACGCGCUGAAACCGGCCCAUCUGGGAGAAAUAUUAGGGCGCAUGUCUCUCCCGGAGGGCUUCCUUUUUUUUUUUUUUCCUAACCACGAAAAUAGGGAAUCUUUGUUACAGGCUAGUUGUGAGCGAAUCCUCCUUUGUCCGCGUCCGGAGGAAAAUCAGGUUUAUUCUUCAGAGAGGGCAGCUUGG
rnacentral:lncRNA from 1 species